UUCCAAGAGGUCUAGUGGUUAGGAUUCCACGCUCUCACCGUGGCGGCCGGGGUUCGAUUCCCCGCUUGGGAA
rnacentral:tRNA from 1 species